AGUUGAUAGCAUCACGCAGCGUGGUCUCGUGGUGGUGUCCACAGGUACCCCCCACACGUGUGCAUGGCUACCACUGCAGCCCCACUCUCCCUCCCUCCACUGCAUCAUCAUCAACCAAGCGUCACUGCCGCGUGCAUACAAAGAGUGGCAGAGACGGCGGCGAGCCUUCUCCGGCUUCCCCGCCUUUUCUUUACAUCAACACUCACGAGCUCUUCGCCCUGCUUGCGGUGGGCGGGGGAGGCGUAGCCACCGUAUAGGGGACGAGCAGACGACGGCCACCGGGACAAAGCACGACGCGCGCCGAACGAGAGCAUCUGCCCCGGCCACGACGACAUCGUUGUCGUCCCCUAUGUCGACGCCAGCAGCAUCGUCGACCCUGCCAGUCGCAGAGCCGGCCAGCAGCGGUGGCGAUGCCGGCUCCGUCGUGACGUCGCGCAUUCCGUGCAGAAUAACAGCACAGCAGUGGGAUACUGUCGCGGUGUGGUCUUGGGAUGUGCAGACGCGCGUGUGCGCCAUAUGCAAGAACAACUUGGCCGAUCACUGCAUCAACUGUCUCGCCAAGGCGCCAUCGUCAUUUAACUCGGCCGUAUCAGCAUCAGCAGUAGCAGGGACGCAGCCCGCGUCCUCCUCGCCGCACCCUGCCUCUGUGGUCUCGGCAGCCAGCGCAGGGCGACUUACUGGCAGGACGUCCACAGCGCAGACAUCGCCACCGCCGGCCACCACCGCCAAACACCCGACUCUGGCAAGGCUGGCGGAUCUUUCAGACAGGUGCCGCGUGGCUUGGGGAACGUGCGGGCACGUGUAUCACUACCACUGCGUCUCGCGGUGGCUUCAGAUGCGCUCCAUGUGUCCGGUGUGUGGGCGGCAGUGGCAGCUGCACAAGAUCACCUCGAACGAGUAGCGACCGCAGGCUGAUGUGCAGCAGCGGAGAAAGGGAAGAGUAGAGGUGAGGGCGUGUGGCAAUGGGAGGGUAAAGCGAAGUCGGGGUGUGCGGGUGGGGGGAAGUGGCAGGCGCGUUGAUGAGCGUCUUUGCAUACUCCCCCACUUGAAUGCUCACCGCUUCAAACACCUCUCCUCCGUUUCCCACCCUUCCUCGUUGCUGUCCAUCAGCGGCGCCAUCCGCACGUCAUUUCGCUGACCUUCUACCCACUGCAGGCCCAGGCACACACACACACACACACACACGCACACAUUGUGAUGUGCACACACCAUCGCCAGCAUCGCGGCCUCUGAGAUAUCCUCCCGCUAUCGACCCAUAUGUUUCAAAACCGCGCCACCCACGCCCGACACCUCCGUCUCUUCCACGGCUGCACGCCUUUUGCCUUUCACGUCGAUUUCUGUUCCGGCGGUUGCGCCAUCGUUUUUUUUUUUUGGUGUUUAGUUCUCACCCGCUCGCCUAGGAGGCCUCUUG
rnacentral:misc_RNA from 1 species